CUACGGGAGGCACCAGCAGGGAAUAUUGCACAAUGGACGGAAGUCUGAUGCAGCGACGCCGCGUGGAUGAUGAAGGCCUUCGGGUUGUAAAAUCCUUUUCAGGGAGAAGAGGAAGGACGGUAUCCCUGGAAUAAGCGUCGGCUAACUACGUGCCAGCAGCCGCGGUAAUACGUAGGACGCAAGCGUUAUCCGGAUUUACUGGGCGUAAAGCGUCUGUAGGCGGUUUAGUAAGUUUGAUGUGAAAGCUCCAGGCUCAACUUGGAGAGUGCAUUGAAUACUGCUAGACUUGAGGGGAUCAGAGGAAAGCGGAAUUUCCGGUGUAGCGGUAAAAUGUGCAGAUAUCGGAAAGAACGCCAGUGGCGAAGGCGGCUUUCUGGGAUCAACCUGACGCUGAGAGACGAAAGCUAGGGUAGCGAACAGGAUUAGAUACCCGAGUAGUC
rnacentral:rRNA from 1 species